GGAUUAGAUACCCUGGUAGUCCACGCCCUAAACGAUGUCGACUAGUCGUUCGGAGCAGCAAUGCACUGAGUGACGCAGCUAACGCGUGAAGUCGACCGCCUGGGGAGUACGGCCGCAAGGUUAAAACUCAAAGGAAUUGACGGGGACCCGCACAAGCGGUGGAUGAUGUGGAUUAAUUCGAUGCAACGCGAAAAACCUUACCUACCCUUGACAUGCCAGGAACCUUGCUGAGAGGCGAGGGUGCCUUCGGGAGCCUGGACACAGGUGCUGCAUGGCUGUCGUCAGCUCGUGCCG
rnacentral:rRNA from 1 species